GGGCCAGACACACCCAGGGGGCGGAGUUACAUGCCAGGGCAGGAUGGGAGAGACAGGGGGCGGGGCCAGACACACCCAGGGGGCGGAGUUACGUGCCAGGGCAGGAUGUGAGAGACGGGGCAGGGCCAGACACACCCAGGGGGCGGAGUUACGUGCCAGGGCAGGAUGUGAGAGAUGGGGGGCGGGCCCAGACACACCCAGGGGGUGGAGUUAUGUGCCAGGGCAGGAUGUGACAGACAGGGGGCGGGCCCAGACACACCCAGGGGGUGGAGUUACGUGCCAGGGCAGGAUGUGAGAGACAGGGGGUGGGGCCAGACACACCCAGGGGGUGGAGUUAUGUGCCAGGGCAGGAUGUGAGAGACGGGGGGUGGGGCCAGACACACCCAGGGGGCGGAGUUACGUGCCAGGGCAGGAUGUGAGAGACGGGGGGUGGGGCCAGACACACCCAGGGGGCGGAGUUAUGUGCCAGGGCAGGAUGGGGCAGGGCCAGGCACUCCCAGGGGGCGGAGUUACAUGCCAGGGCAGGCUGUGACAGACGCGGGGCAGAGCCAGACACACCCAGGGGGUGGAGUUAUGUGCCAGGGCAGGCUGUGACAGCCAGGGGGCGGGGCCAGACUCACCCAGGGGCCGGAGUUACGUGCCAGGGCAGGAUGUGACAGCCAGGGGGCGGGGCCAGGCACUCCCAGGGGGCGGAGUUACAUGCCAGGGCAGGAUGUGACACCCAGUGGGGAGGGCCAGGCACAGCAGAGAAGCUGGGGGGGGCGGUGUCUGACCAUCCCUCGG